GUCUGCUCGGUGAUGCGGUCCAGCUCCUCCAGCUCCUCCUUGAUUUCCGUGUACCUGAAAGGCGCGAUGCGCGGGGUCGGACCAGGGCAGCCUAGCGCCGCCUGCUGUGGUGUGCCCAGGGCUGUUCACCCAAGAAGCCUUAUCACCAUCUGCAUCAUGAAGUCCGGAGUGGCAGGGCCUUAGAGAUCAAUCCACCAAACAAAACCGUCAUCUCGGGACCAGCAGUUAGCGUAAUGGCUAGCUAUGUCACUUCAUUCCCAUGUAGUCGACCGCGUUUGAGUCCCAGACUCGGUGGCUUAAAACUCGCCCGCCCUAUGGCAAAAACCUCUCCAAAUACCUCUCGACCUAAUAAACAAGGCUGCAAGACAAAGCAGAUAUACCAAA